AUUGAACGCUGGCGGCAGGCCUAACACAUGCAAGUCGAACGAGUGGCGGACGGGUGAGUAAUGUCUGGGGAUCUGCCCGAUAGAGGGGGAUACAUACUGGACACGGUAGCUAAUACCGCAUACUAUCGUAUGAACCCAUAUGGGCUUAGCUUGUAGGUGGGGUAACGGCUCACCAAGGCGACGCUCCCUAGCUGGUAUGAGAGGAUGAUCAGCCACACUGGAACUGAGACACGGCCCAGACUCCGACGGGAGGCAGCAGUGGGGAAUAUUGCACAAUGGGUGCAACCCUGAGGCAGCCAUGCCGCGUGAAUGAAGAAGGCCUUCGGGUUGGAAAGGUCUUUCGGUAGCGAGGCGUUAACUACAGAAGAAGCACCGGCUAACUCCGUGCCAGCAGCCGCGGUAAUAC
rnacentral:rRNA from 1 species